rnacentral:lncRNA from 1 species
AUGGAGAUCGCCGGAAAUAGUUUUAAGAAAUGUAAGUUUGAUAUUAAGUUUGAUAUUCUUACCUCUACAAUAGAAAUUUGAGUUUGAUAUCACAAUUUUAUAAUCUGAUUUUAGAAAACAAAUAGUAUUAUAGGCGAUGCAUCGUCGACGGUCUCUGGUCGGCCAGUGGUACAGUUUGAAAGAACUAAAGAUGGCCACUGGUGGAUUUUUUGCUCAAAAUGUGAUGGAUGAAGGCGG